rnacentral:lncRNA from 1 species
AUGGAGACUAACGUGAAGCAGCAGCUGCUCACCUGUCAGGAGAUGUUGCAGGAGAUAGAACAAAAGGUGACCAGUAUGUCGGAUUCUAGCUCGGGAACCAAGAACCUGAACCUGAAACAGGACCAGGGAGUCCAGGGGGGUCUGGUCUCUGCAGGUUCUGACCAGGAGUCAGCUGAGCUUCUGGCCUCAAAACUGGAGCUUCUCAAGACCAACCUUGUUUCCUUCCAGCACCUCCUGGAGGAACGCCAUGGGGAGGAGAGGAUGACCCCUGCUCUCCAAGACCCGGUAAACUACUCUCCUAACUAUAUAGUGCACUAUACAGGCUCUAUUGGCAUUGCUAAAGUAAACUACGAUAGCGUAGUCUGUACGAGACCCGGUAAUACACUACUAACUAUAUAAUGUACUAUAGCAGAGCCUAUAUUACUCUAUAUGGAAUAAGAAAUGCUGUGUGUCACACUUCAAAUUCCACUCCAUUGGUUCUU